UACGUAGGGACCAAGCGUUGUUCGGAUUUACUGGGCGUAAAGGGCGCGUAGGCGGCGUGUUAAGUCACUUGUGAAAUCUCUGAGCUUAACUCAGAACGGUCAAGUGAUACUGAUGUGCUAGAGUGCAGAAGGGGCAACCGGAAUUCUCGGUGUAGCGGUGAAAUGCGUAGAUAUCGAGAGGAACACCUGCGGCGAAGGCGGGUUGCUGGGCUGAUACUGACGCUGAGACACGAAAGCCAGGGGAGCGAACGGG
rnacentral:rRNA from 1 species